CUGUGAAGAGGCAUACUUCAUUUACCUCAUUACACACUUUGUACGUUGCAUGUUAAAAAAAGAGUAAUUUGCAGAAUUCAAGUAGUAUCAAGACUGGAUUGUCUGAACUUUAAUAUAUGUCAUAACUCUCAAACAGCUCUUCAAGGAUACAAGCAGGCUUAAUUCUAAACUCAGUGGUGAAACGGAGGAUGUUGAAGUCAUUCAGGAAAAAAAUGAAUACUACAACUGAACUGAAAAAGUGAUUCAAGCACUGAAAUUACAUGAGGAAGUGAGAGAAGAUGGCAGUCAAGGACUGGAAUGUACAUUGAACACUCAAAAGGUUGCCGGAUACAUCAUGGAGAAUGAAUGAAAAUGCUGUGCCUAUUCAGAUGGAAAAAUAUGAAUAUCCACCCAGAUGGAACAUUUCAACAUUUCAAGCAAACGAUGAGAAAGGAGAAAAGGAAGAAAAAUGGAACUGGCCCAAUAAAGAGGUUA